rnacentral:misc_RNA from 1 species
GAUGAAGAACGUAGCGAAAUGCGAUACGUAAUGUGAAUUGCAAAUUCAGUGAAUCAUCGAGUCUUUGAACGCACAUUGCGCCCCCUGGUAUUCCGGGGGGCAUGCCUGUCCGAGCGUCAUUGCCGCCCUCAAGCACGGCUUGUGUGUUGGGCCCCGUCCUCCGAUCCCGGGGGACGGGCCCGAAAGGCAGCGGCGGCACCGCGUCCGGUCCUCGAGCGUAUGGGGCUUUGUCACCCGCUCCGUAGGCCCGGCCGGCGCUUGCCGAUCAACCCAAAUUUUUAUCCAGGUUGACCUCGGAUCAGGUAGGGAUACCCGCUGAACUUAAGCAUAUCAAUAAGCGAGGA